UCCCUGCGCGGACAGAGCUCUGGUUUCUCCAAGUGCGCACGGCGGCUGCUGCUGAGGGAGCGACUCCUCCUGCCGUACCCAGACGCGUCCUGAGCAACCUGCGCUCUCGGGGUGGAUAUUAAAAACAUUAUUUAACCCGGCAGAGGAACCCCGUGAACCGCUCCUCACUGGACCUGCCGCAGGGACGCACACACAAACCCCGGGGAUUAUUGCUUGUUUUAAUCAUGAAGAUGUGAGGGUUUAUAAGCUGAGAAGAAAGAAAGAGGAACUCCGAGGCUGACAAAAAAGGUACAAGUGAGCGAGUAACAAGAAGAAGAAGAAGAAGAAGAAGAAGGCGCUCGAGCAGCUGAAGAUAUGAAGCUAAAGAGGUUUUGAAAACAACCCAGUGAGUGCCAAGCCGUCCUGCGUGAAGACCCCAGCCUUCCCUGCGCAGUCGGGGGCCUCGGCUCUCCAGCCAGGUCAAAGAUCAGUCCCA